UCCAGACUCCUACGGGAGGCAGCAGUGGGGGAUAUUGCACAAUGGGGGGAACCCUGAUGCAGCGACGCCGCGUGGGUGAAGGAGCGUUUCGGCGCGUAAAGCCCUAUCGGCAGGGAAGAAGGAGGACGGUACCUGACUAAGAAGCCCCGGCCAACUACGUGCCAGCAGCCGCGGUAAUACGUAGGGGGCAAGCGUUAUCCGGAUUUACUGGGUGUAAAGGGGGCGCAGACGGCAGCGCAAGCCAGGAGUGAAAGCCCGGGGCCCAACCCCGGGACUGCUCUUGGAACUGCGCGGCUGGAGUGCAGGAGGGGCAGGCGGAAUUCCUGGUGUAGCGGUGAAAUGCGUAGAUAUCAGGAGGAACACCGGUGGCGAAGGCGGCCUGCUGGACUGCGACUGACGUUGAGGCCCGAAAGCGUGGGGAGCAAACAGGAUUAGAUACCCUUGUAA
rnacentral:rRNA from 1 species